UAUCGUCAUUGAUUCUUUACUAUUCUGUUGUUUUUGUUGUUUGUUGUUGUUUUUGUGAGUUACUUUUAUGAGGGAUUAAAAUUAUUUCCUUACUUAUAAUUUACUUUACUGUUACUUAUAUUACUUAUGUCACUACUAUCGGCAUUGCUUACUUACUAUUUUUGUUGUUUGUUAUUUGUUGUUGUUUUUGUAAGUUACUUUUAUGAGGGGUCAAAAUAAUUUCCGUCUACUUAUAAUUUACUUAACUGUUACUUAUAAAACUUAUUUGACUCCUAUCGCCAUUACUUAUUUGCUCUUUAGUUGUAUUAUUAUUAUCGUAGUAGUAGUAGUAGUAGUAGUAGUAGUAGUAGUAGUAGUAAUAGUAGUAGUGGUAGUAGUAGUAGUAGUAGUAGUAAUAGUAGUAGUAGUAGUAGUAGUAGUAGUAGUAGUAGUAGUAGUAGGAUAGUAAUACAUCAACUAUCACGAACUAUUAUUACAAUUUUUAUUCAUUUUCUUUACAAUCAAUAAUCCAAUCAAGUGAGAUAGUAGUAGUAGUAGUAGUAGUAGUAGGUGGAUUGUAGUAGUAAGGGUUGUUGGGUGAGGAAUAGUGGGUUUAAGUAGGUGGUAAUUCUCGUAGUAGUAGUAGUAAUUUAAGUACCAUAUUCUAAGUACAUACAACAUUUACAAGUAGCAUUUUUAAGUACACUUCAAGCGACGAGCGGCGAUUCUUUAAAAUAUAUAAAAAAUUUGACUUACACUUCAACUUUUCGAUAGUAGUAAUAGUAGCAGUAGUAGUAGUAGUAGUUUUAUAAGUAGUAGUGGUAGUAGGAUUGAAGUAGACAGGGUUGUUGGGUGAGGAAUAGUGGGUUUAAGUAGGUGGUAAAGACCGUGGUAGUAGUGAUUUGGGUCGUUGUAGUAGUAGUAGUAGUAGUAGUUUUAUAAGUAGUAGUGGUAGUAAGUGGAUUGUAGUAGCCAGGGUUGUUGGGUGAGGAAUAUUGGGUUUAAGUAUGUGGUAAAGACUGUGGUUGUAGUGGUUUGGGUCAUAGUAGUAGUUUUAUAAGUAGUAGUGGUAGUAAGUGGAUUGUAGUAGACAGGGUUGUUGGGUGAGAAAUAGUGGGUUUAAGUAGGUGGUAAAGACAGUGGUAGUAGUGGUUUGGGUCAUAGUAGUAGUAGUAGUAGUAAUAGUAGUAGGGGUGGAUAGUCAAAGUUGGGGUUGUGGGGUGGUGAAAAGUACAUUUAAGUAGGUGGUAAUUCUCGUAGUAAUAGUCAUAGUAGUCUAAUAGUACUAAUAGUAAUAGUAGCAAAGCAGCAACAUUGAUAAGGCCCUUCCUUCCACAUCAAACUAUCCUUAUAAUAGUAAAAAAUAGUGUACUAGCUGCAAGGCAAUGUUCAUUUAAGUAGUCUUUAAGUAGUAGUAGUGACUAUUUAUAAGUGACUCUGAGGAUAGCACCAGCUGACUUAAGCAUUGCACUUAUAAUAGUAGAAGUAGUAGUAGUAGUAGAAAGAAGUAGUAGUAGUAGUAGUAGUAGUAGUAGUAGUAGUGGUAACAGAUCUUGUAAUACUGAAAUCAUUAUCAUAGUAAUACUAAUACUAAUAAUAAAGAAAAUAGUAGAAAUAGUAGUAGUAGUAGUAGUAGUAGUAGUAGUAGUAGUUGUAGUAGAAAUAGUAAUGCAAUAAUAAUAAUAAUAAUAUCAACUUAAUAAUAUCAUAAAAUAGUUCGUUGUGCAAAAAAUAGUAAUAGUAAUAGUAGUAGUAGUAGUAGUAGUAGAAGUAGUAAUAGUAGUAGUAGUAAUGAUAGUUUUUUUUGCACCAUUUUUAAAGCUCAUCAUAAUAGUCAGGGUACAAGCAUAUCACACAAGGAUAAGCACACAAUGCCAAUGGAUAGUAGCUGCAAUAGUAGUAGUAGUAGUAGUAGUAGUAGUAGUAGUAGUAGUAGUAGUAGAAGUAGUAGUUGUGGGGUGUCGAAUAGUGGGUUUAAGUAUCUCCUAAUUCUCGUGGUGAUAGUAUUAAUAGUGAAAUAGUUAAAAUAGUAUCAAUAGUAAAAAUAAUAAUAAUAAUAAUAAUAUAUAAAGCAAUUUCUUAAGUAGUUUUGGACAUUGAACACAACUAAUUAAGAGAGAGAGAGAGAGAGAGAGAGAGAGAGAGAGAGAGAGAGAGAGAGAGAGAGAGAGAGAGAGCGAGCGAGAGAGAGAGAGUGA